GCUGGGCAUGGUGGCGCAUGCCUGUAGUCCCAGCUACUCGGGAGGCUGAGGCAGGAGAAUUGCUUGAACCCGGGAGCCGGAGGCUGCAGUGAGCCGAGAUUGCGCCACUGCACUCCAGCCUGGGUGACAGAGCAAGACUCUGUCUCAG
rnacentral:SRP_RNA from 1 species